AGAAAAAUUAUUUAAACACACUAAAGUGUUAAAAAAGACUUAACACGCCAGAAAUAAACAUCCUUAACUAACAUCUACCAGACAUAGGCAAAGAACGCAAUCUGGAUCAGCAGUGGGUCUCUGGGGUGCUUGGGUAUUCUUCGCAGUAUGGGAGCGACAAGUGGAGCGCGCAGCAAAUACUGGGUGCUCCAGAUGUGUACCCUGCAUACGCGGAUGACAAAAGGGCAUGGGCCCCAGAUGACAUCGACGCAAACCAGUUCUUGGAGUUCCAGUUCACCACUUCCGUCUACGUGACACGACUCGACGUCUACGAGACUUUCAAUGGUGGCGGUGUCAAGGCCAUUAAGUGCUUCGAUGUCUCAGAAGAGUGGAUAACGCUAUGGUCGACGGACAAAGUAUACGCUUUAGAGUAUCCGAGGAUAUUCAUUCCACCG